GUCCCCGGCGUCCGGGCGCCCUGCAUGGAUCCCCCACCCCAGCUCCUGCUCCCCGGCGGCGGCCGGUGGGCAGAAAGACCGAAACCCACUCACGGCCGCCUGCCGAAUCGCGGCUCUGCUGUUUGUGGGGCGUGCUAGAAACGUGGUCCUAAAAAGAAUGGCGUCCAUUUACAUAAUGCUUUGUUUGCGUUUCGCAAGUUUCUUUCGGUUAAAGCCACAGAAACCCCACCUCCUGCCCUUGUGUCGUUUCCACCGCGGCACCCUUUUCCGACAUUAGAAACAAUAGUGUACGCCUGUGGAGGCCUCGUUUGUUCAGGGGCUGCCGGCCAGGGCUUCAGGACGUUUCUGCGGCUUUCCCCGCGCGGCCUGGGCUCCCGCGGCUGCUUUUCGGGCCCAUGGGCGCAGCCACUGCGCCAGGCUCAAGGGGGGCGGCCCCGUCAGGGCCCGCCAUCUUGGAAGGCCUUUUUUGCCGGUUCUUCCCGCUGAGGAAGUGUCGCUCAAGACGCUGGCCUAUGAGUUGUGAUUUCUGCCUUUUCCCCUUCCUCCUUGGGCUAAGCCAGACCAGAAAGGGCCCCGUGCGCAACGUGCUUCACAAUCUCUCAGGGAAAGCGGCUAACGUGGCGCUACUCCGCCUCCCCUGUUCCUUACCCUUGGGGCGGCCGCCAUGUUUCCUGAACACAAAAUGGCGACACGUGGUUAGCAUUCGUCGCCAACGAGAAAUUGGGGUCGGCCCGAAAGCUCUAGAAUGCACCCCUCUUCCUCCCCGGGGCCUUCCACCUCCGCGAGUUUUAUGACUUAAAAAAGCCCACAGGCUGGUCUGAAGGUCGGAGGCCUAAUUUUAACGCGUUUUCCUCCCUUUAAUUUGAAACGGGAACGCGAAUGACUGUAAAAUGUGGGCACAAUAUUUAAUCUCUCGCCUUUUUAAAGCUUAAUAGUGGAUAAUAGGGGGGCAGUAUCAAGGGAUAAUUUGGGUCCCCACAGUACCAAAGCAUUUAGAAACCUCUGUUUAAUUUAAGGAAUGAGAUAAGUUACUGCUUUUCUAGACUUCCUAGCAUGGGCUGUUGUGCUGGAGAGAACGAGAGCUACGAAGAGACUACAGUGCCUCUGACUUUUUCAUAGGACAGUUGGCCGGUGAAUCUUAUUAAUAGUUUACCACAAUUAAGUGUUCAUUUUUAGUCUAGAAGGGACAGGCGUUUAUUGUGCAUUGGCCAGUGCCAGCACAUCCGAUGCAAGGCAGUUCACCGUAUUCUAUCUUUAAUUUUUACCAUGGUCCUCUGAGGUAGGUGUUCUUAUCUCUCUCUCUCUCUCUCUCUUUUAAACAGAGGAAGACAAACAUAAAGAUGAAGUGCUUAAUUCAAGGUCACACAAUGUCGGGGAUGGACCUCCAGAUUUCCUUACUGACCUGCAUUAUCUUGUGGAUACCUGAGUGAAUUCCACACCACCCAUUUUAUAGAUGAAACCACUGAGACAUGGAGCAAUUGACUGAGUAGUCACUGCCCCACCCCUGCCUGGAGCCUCACACAUGACUCGCCUCCUCUCAGUGACCACAGGAAAACAAGCUCAGGGCUCCCACUGAUUGUACAUUAUGAGACGGAGUCUUGCUAUGUUGCCCAGGCUGGUCUUGAACUCCUCACCUCAAGCGAUCCUCCCGUCUUGGCCUCCCAAGUGUCAGGAUUACGGGCAUGUGCUAUCACACCCAACCUGAUACAUUGCCUUUAUAAAUUUUUUUUUCUUUAUUCUAAAAACCAGAAAAAACAAAACUGGAUACAUGUGCAGAACAUGCAGAAAACCUUUUCUCCUGAUUAUAAACAUAUUUCUUUGUGUAAAAAUUUAUAAAUGCAUUUAGAAGAAACUAUGAUUCACUCUAAUUAUAUGAUCCAUUUGUAACUACUCUUAAUAUAUGGUACAUAGUUUAAAAAAUUUUAUUGAGCUUAAAGUGUAUCUAGUUUUGUGUCCUAAUUAUUCUGCUUAACCUUCUAUUGUAAGCAUUUUCCACGUCAAUAAAUAUUAUAAUGUAA
rnacentral:lncRNA from 1 species